rnacentral:lncRNA from 1 species
GGGGGGUCGGCCUAUUCUAGGACUUCUAGAGAAAAAUAAUGAGGGGUGUCACGGGGAAUGACUAUAUAGGUCUUGAAGAGGAGAAACAGGCGCUUUUUUUGCGCUAGGUAUCGAAGGGCACUAUGUUCAAAAAUCUGAAACUAGAGCUCAAAAUUUGAAAAAAAUGUCAAAAAAUUUGGGGGGUCGGCCUAUUCUAGGACUUCUAGAGAAAAAUAAUGAGGGGUGUCACGGGGUAUGACUAUAUAGGUCUUGUAGAAAAGAAACAGGCGCUCCUUUUGCACUAGGUAUCGAAGAGCGCUAUGUUCAAAAAUCUGAAACUAGAGCUCAAAAUUUGAAAAAAA